CUUCUCCUCGACGACACUGCCGCGGCGUGCCCUCUGGAAGAGGCUGUCCCUUCGCGCCUUCAAGUCCUCGAGCACGCUGUGCCUCCUUCCCUUAUUGUCACGCAAGAUAGCGCUCGAGUCCCGGCGUGCACCGAUCAAUUUCGCGAACGACGACUCGUCCUCCAUCAUCGAAGGUAUCGAGUUCGUGGACGCGUACUUGGUGCCCGUGUGACCAUUGUUGUGGGCAUCGUUGUUGCUGAUGUACAUCUUGGUUUCCAUGCUACGGCAACCCCCGGGCCCGAACGAAUCGCCAGCGUUUCUCUGCGUUGCGCGCGCGCGCGCGGCCGGCCGCGCCGUGUAUCGUCGCGAUGUAGUGUAACAACCGAACGAACGCGCACUGUGCUGGAAGAGAAUCACCGGAAAAACUGGAACCCGCGAUCACUGGCCACCCGAACGCGAUCUUAGCCGAGGCCUGCGAUCAUUUUCACCGGCGUUCGCGCGAAGGGAAACACGGAAGUUGCAACUGUACUAUUGCCACGCCGUUGCGGGACACGGUACCGUUUAGGAUCCUAGGUUAGGUUCGCCAUCGAACUACUACCGCUGCUCGCUGAGAUGUCCAGCGAUCGGAGAGCCGAGCCGCCGCGGCCGCGAUGAACCGCGCAAAUCGGGAAGCAGUUUCGCGAAACAGGAAGUGCGCCGCCGGUGCUCGACGAGAAGGGACACUGGAAGCGGUCAUUUCGUUUUUGUCAUUGACCCAAAUCACCGGAGCCGAAGGAACGAGUCACGGCCUCCGAAUCUUGACAUUGAAUCGCGGUUUCGCCUCGCGGUGAUUUAUUUCGAGGCUCCCUGGAUCCGCGUCCGGUGAAUGAAAGCCUCUCUCUCUCUCUCUUUCUCCCUCUUCACCUCUCUCUCUUUUUAACUCUCUCUUUUGCCCGGCGCCGAAAAUCCGCUCCCAUAAAGAAACCCGACAACGAGAUCGCAGUGAACUCAAGGCGAGCCGUGGCGAACGCGACCGGGCGGGUUCAAGAGCGGGAACAAUUCCGUCCGGCUUGAAAAAUCUGCACAGAGAGUUCGAGAAACAUGCGUCACGACCACCGCACCGUGACUCUGCGCCUUUCGUUCGAUGGGGGAUCAAAGGAAGUGCUGGUAAAAUCCUGACCUCGAGGGAAAGGGUUAAAUUUCGAUGCUUGAGUAUUGUUAUGUACUGUAACAUUAAUAUUAUAAUAUUUUAUUAUUAUUUUAUUUUUAAAAUAUACAGGGAAUCUAUGUAAGUAUAUGAGUCGCCAGAAGUCAAUGGGGUUAAGUGAAUUUUUGAUAUUUUUCGAUUGUUCUAAAUUUCAACGGGAUAAGUAAGGAAGUGCUGGUAAAAUCUAAUCCUCGAGGGAAAGGGUUAAAAUUUCGAUGCUUGAGCACGUAUUGUUAUGUACUGCAACAUUAACAUUGUAAUAUUUUAUUAUUAUUAUUUUAUUUCUCAAAAAUAAAGAAAUUUUGAUUGACUUCUGAGCGACUUAUAUACUUUCAUAGAUUCAUAGAUUACCUUUAUCUUUGAGAAAUAAAAUAAUAAUAAUAAUUUCAACGGAAUAAGUAAUAUUCUUUUCAGUUAUCAAAGGAUUUGCUCGUGUCUCCGUUUGUUCUAGGUCUAGGUUUUUAAAAAGGGUUAAAAAACAUUAAUUUCCUCAAUGUUUGUUUCUCAAGUGCUAGUAUAUGACUGUCAAAAUUUCUUUCGGUUGCGAGUUACAUUUUUGAAACACCCUGUACAGCAUUCUAGCAGCGCGAGUCGGGAUAAUGGGGGAAAAUGGCGGCCGCCCGAGGCUGCGUUUUCGAGUAAUCGCGUUUUAAUUGGCCGCCGGUGACAUCGAAACCUUUUACGCCCGGUAAACGCGGACGAUUAUCGUUCAUAUGGGAGCACCGAUGCCUUUUUUCCAAUGAUCUCUACGGCCGCUGUAUAUCUUUGUUAUGGUCCGACGUUCUUUUUACGACGUUCAGCCGGCAGUCGUUAAACGGUCCGAGUAAUUUAUUUAAGUAAUGGAGAAGGUACCGGGAGUCCGAUGUUCCUCAAGUUGAUCGGUGAUCCUUUAACGUUUUUUAAAUCGCGUAACUCAUUUUGUUCCUAUUUCUGCUCGUCGAGCUGUAAUAGCGAUUCGACUAACGUUAAAAAUAUCAAACUAAUACUACGUGGAAAAUAUUCAUGAUAGCUCCGGUAACAAUAUUACAACACUGAAUACUAUGAUUAACCCUUUGCACUCGGGAGGUGACUCUCAGUCACUUGAUUUCCUACAGUAAAGUUUCAUAUUUAAUAUCAUACUUCAUAUAAUGCAUCAAUCUGAGAAAAUUGGCGUAAAAUAGCUUUG